CGGCAACAGCUCAAAUUUGAAACCUGGCGCAAGCCCGGAUUGUAAUUUGCAGAGGAUGCUUCUAGGCAGCGGCCGUUCUAAGUUCCUUGGAACAGGACGUCAUAGAGGGUGAGAAUCCCGUAUGUGACCGGCCCGCACCUUCUACGUAGCUCCUUCGACGAGUCGAGUUGUUUGGGAAUGCAGCUCUAAAUGGGAGGUAAAUUUCUUCUAAAGCUAAAUAUUGGCCAGAGACCGAUAGCGCACAAGUAGAGUGAUCGAAAGAUGAAAAGCACUUUGGAAAGAGAGUUAAAAAGCACGUGAAAUUGUUGAAAGGGAAGCGCUUGCAACCAGACUCCGCGGCGGUGUUCCGCCGGUCUUCUGACCGGUCCACUCGCCGCCGCGGGGCCAACAUCGUCUGGGGCCGCCGGAUAAGACCGGAGGAAUGUAGCUCAUUGAGUGUUAUAGCCUCCGGUGAUGCGGCGCGUCCCGGGCGAGGUCCGCGCUUCGGCAAGGAUGUUGGCGUAAUGGUUGUCAGCGGCCCGUCUUGAAACACGGACCAAGGAGUCUAACAUCUAUGCGAGUGUUCGGGUGUCAAACCCCUACGCGUAAUGAAAGUGAACGGAGGUGGGAACCGCAAGGUGCACCAUCGACCGAUCCUGAUGUCCUCGGAUGGAUUUGAGUAAGAGCAUAGCUGUUGGGACCCGAAAGAUGGUGAACUAUGCCUGAAUAGGGUGAAGCCAGAGGAAACUCUGG
rnacentral:rRNA from 1 species